rnacentral:misc_RNA from 1 species
GAUGAAGAACGCAGCGAAAUGCGAUAAGUAGUGUGAAUUGCAGAAUUCCGUGAAUCAUCGAAUCUUUGAACGCACCUUGCACCCUUUGGUAUUCCGAAGGGUAUGCUCGUUUGAGUGUCAUUGUACUCUCACACUUCUAAUUCCUUUCGGGAUUGGGAGCGGUGGACUUGGGUGUUGCUGCUUUAGUUGUGGCUCACCUCAAAUAAGUUAGUGCAACUCUUGGUUGGACAUAGUACGGCGUGAUAAGUGUCUUCGCCGGCGCCUCUGUAAGGAGGGUGGCCGAUCGGGAGCUCUGUGCUUCAAACCGUCUUCGGACAAUCUUUGACAACUUGACCUCAAAUCGAGUAGGACUACCCGCUGAACUUAAGCAUAUCAAUAAGCGGAGGA